UACGGGGGGGAGCAAGCGUUGUUCGGAUUUACUGGGCGUAAAGGGCGCGUAGGCGGCCACCGCAAGUCGACUGUGAAAUCUCCGGGCUUAACUCGGAAAGGUCAGCCGAUACUGCGGGGCUAGAGUGCAGAAGGGGCAACUGGAAUUCUCGGUGUAGCGGUGAAAUGCGUAGAUAUCGAGAGGAACACCUGCGGCGAAGGCGGGUUGCUGGGCCGACACUGACGCUGAGACGCGAAAGCUAGGGGAGCGAACAGG
rnacentral:rRNA from 1 species